CCUACGGGAGGCAGCAGUGGGGAAUAUUGCACAAUGGGGGAAACCCUGAUGCAGCAACGCCGCGUGAGUGAAGAAGUAUUUCGGUAUGUAAAGCUCUAUCAGCAGGGAAGCAGAAAGACGGUACCUGACUCAGAAGCCCCGGCUAACUACGUGCCAGCAGCCGCGGUAAUACGUAGGGGGCAAGCGUUAUCCGGAUUUACUGGGUGUAAAGGGAGCGUAGGCGGCUGUGCAAGUCUGAAGUGAAAGCCCGUGGCUCAACCGCGGAACUGCUUUUGAACCUGCGGGUCUUGAGUGAUGGAGAGGCAGGCGGAAUUCCCAGUGUAGCGGGGAAAUGCGUAGAUAUUGGGAGGAACACCAGUGGCGAAGGCGGCCUGCUGGACAUUAACUGACGCUGAGGCGCGAAGGCGUGGGGAGCAAACAGGAUUAGAUACCCGAGUAGUC
rnacentral:rRNA from 1 species